rnacentral:pre_miRNA from 1 species
CUUGUACUCCCUCCGUCCGAAAAUACUUGUCAUUGAAAUGGAUGUAUCUAGAUGUAUUUUAGUUCUAGACACAUCCAUUUUGAUGACAAGUAAUUUCAGACAGAGGGAGUACUUG